CCUACGGGAGGCUGCAGUGGGGAAUAUUGGACAAUUGGGGCAACCCUGAUCCAGCCAUGCCGCGUGUGUGAAGAAGGCCCUCGGGUUGUAAAGCACUUUCAGUGAGGAAGAACGCCUGGUGGUUAAUACCCAUCAGGAAAGACAUCACUCACAGAAGAAGCACCGGCUAACUCCGUGCCAGCAGCCGCGGUAAUACGGAGGGUGCGAGCGUUAAUCGGAAUUACUGGGCGUAAAGCGCGCGUAGGUGGCUUGAUAAGCCGGUUGUGAAAGCCCCGGGCUCAACCUGGGAACGGCAUCCGGAACUGUCAAGCUAGAGUGCAGGAGAGGAAGGUAGAAUUCCCGGUGUAGCGGUGAAAUGCGUAGAGAUCGGGAGGAAUACCAGUGGCGAAGGCGGCCUUCUGGACUGACACUGACACUGAGGUGCGAAAGCGUGGGUAGCAAACAGGAUUAGAUACCCGAGUAGUC
rnacentral:rRNA from 1 species